GCAGAGGUUGCGGUGAGCUGAAAUGGCGCCACCGCACUCCAGCCUGGGCAACAGAGUGAGACUCUGUCUCAAAAAAAAAAAAAUACAGGCGCCCGCCACCACGCCCGACUCAUUUUUUGCAUUUUUAGUAGAGACGAGGUUUCACUGUGUUAGUCAGGAUGGUCUCGAUCUCCUGGCCUCGUCAUCCACCCGCCUUGGCCUCCCAAAGUGCUGGGAUUACAGGCCUGAGCCACCGCGCCUGGCCUACGAUCAUUUAAAAAAAAAAAAAAAAAGUCUUGUUAAGAAUGUUCAGGUCCCGUGUAGUGGCUCACGCCUGUAAUCCCAGCACUUUGACAGGCCGAGGAGGGCGGAUCACCUGAGGUCAGGAGUUCAAGACAAGCCCGGCCAACAUGGUGAAACCCCGUCUCUACUAAAAAUUCAAAAAUUAGCCAGGUAUGGUGGUAUGUGCCUGUAAUCCCAGCUACUUGGGAGACUGAGGCAGGAGAAUUGCUGGAACCUGGGAGAGGGAGGUUGCAGUGAGCCAAGAUUGUGCCACUGCACUGCAGCCUGGGCAACAGCGAGAUUCCAUCUCAAAAAAAAAAAAAAAAAAAAAGAAUGUUCAUAGCAGGUUGGGUGCAGUGGCUCACCCCUGUAAUUCUAGCACUUUAGGAGGCAGAGGUAUGCAGAUAACAUAGGCCCAGGAGUUCAAACCAGCCUGGCCAACAUGGCGAAACCCUGUCUCUACUAAAACUACAAAAAUUAGCCAGGCGUGCUGGUGCAAGCCUUUAAUCUCAGUUACUCAGGAGGCUGAGGCAUGAGAAUCACAUGAGCCUGGGAGGUGGAGGUUACAGUGAGCCAAGAUUGCACCACUGCACUCCAGCCUGGGCAGCAAAGCAAGACUCUGUCUCAAAGAAAAUUAAAAAUUACGUUAAAAAAAGUUCAUAGCAGCAUUAUUCAUAAAACAACCCAAAUGUCUAUCAACUGAUAAAUGGAUAAACAAAAUGUGGUAUAUUCACAAAUAAAAUAUUAUACAGCCAAAAAGAGAGUACUGAUAUAUGCUGCACCAUGGACGAACCUUGAAGACAUUAUGCUUAGUGAAAGAAGCCAAACAUGAAAGGCCACCUUUUAAUGAUUCCACUUGUAUGAAAUGUACAGAGUAGGCUAACUCAUAGAGACAGAAAGUAGAUCAGUGCUUGUGGGGUGAGAGGAACAGGGAAUGACUGCUAAUGGGUAUGGAGCUUCUUUUUGGGGUAAUGAAAAAUUUCUGGAAUUUGAUAGUGGUGAUAUUUGCACAACCUUGUAAAUAUACUAAAAACCACUGAAUUGUACGCUGAAAAGGGUGAAUUUUAUAGUAUGUGAGUUAUAUUUCAAUUAAAAAACCCAGAAAUGAUAGCAAACUGAUUUCUAUAUUUAUAGACCUUGGGCAACAAGCGUUUUGGUAACACCACCCAGCUUUGCAUUUUCCACCAAAAUGUUAAGCAAAAGAAUUACUCAGAGGACAAGGAGAAAAAGCUGGCUAUAAAUUUUGAAACAUAAUUUUUAAAAAUCUAUAUUGCAUACAAUGCUGAUUAUAAAUAUGCAAUGUAAAGCUCUGCAAAAUGCAAACAGUAUCUAAAUGUAAAAUGUAGAAAGUUGCAGUUUCCUAUAACCCUAUUGUAGGGAUUAAUGUAAUGCUAGCAGUUUAACAGAUCAAUCCUAACAUCUCAAAUGCCUAAUAAGAUAAGAUUUUAUCUUUUACCAGUGAAAUCUAAAACAGAAUUUUGCCCCUAUCAACAUGAAAGAAUCAAAAGGAUCAGCACCCAUUUUUAAAGAGUUUAUUCAGGCUGGGCACAGUGGCUCACACCAGUAAUUCCAGCACUUUGGCAGACCAAGAAGGAGAAUUGCUUAAAGCCAGGAGUUCAAGACUAGACUGGGCAUCAAAGUGAGACUCUGUUUCUAUUAAAAAAAUUUUUUUAAGGCGUUUAUUCCGUGAAAAUGGGGUCAGUGAAAUGGGGUCCGUGCUCUGAUGUCAAAAGUUAAGGUCUUGUUUAUAAAGGAAGAAAACAAAGAAAUUUAACAGGAUUAUUUCUUAUACAAAGCUGGUUUAUGAAUUAAAACAAUUCAAUUAGUUAAUUUGUUUUCUUUUCCUUGUGGCUUGGUUUCAUUUAUUUUCUAAUUUAAAAGAGUAUAUAAUGUAACAGUCAUGAAGGCUUUGUGUGAGAGAGGUAGGAAGGAAGUUAAUCUGCAAUGAAGAUCAGCAGUGAAGUGGGACUAAAGGGAAGUACCCUUUAGUCAUUUACAACAUUUUACAAAAUUAUGUAGAUAAGGAAGGAGGCUAAUCUAUAAUCAGAGAAAAAAUGUUUACAGUUUCCUAGGUUACAGCUGCCUGUCACAUGACUCAAGUCUCAUAAACACAUUUCUUUAAAGCUCAAAAUAAUUUAAUGUUCCAACAGCUUAGAUUUUUUUCUUUUUUUUUUUUUUUUUGAGGCAGAGUCUUGCUCUCUUGCCCAGGCUAGCAUGCAGUGGUGCAGUCUUGGCUCACUGCAACUUCCGCCUCCUGGGCUUAAGUGUUUCUCGUGCCCUAGCCUCCCAAGUAGCUGGGGCCACAGGCGUAUGCCACCAUGCCCGGCUAAUUUUUUGUAUUUUUAGUAGCGACGGGGUUUCACCCUGUUGGCCAGGCUGGUCUCGAACUCCUGACCUCAAAUGAUCCACCUGCCUUGGUUUCCCAAAGUGCUGGGGUUACAGGCGUGAGCCACUGCACCUGGCCCAAUAGCUUAGAUUUUGAAUUACUUAUUUUCACACCACUGAUCAGUAAAUUGCUCUUCUCCAAGCAAUGAUUCAGAGACCCAAGGUCAUUCUAUCUUCUGUCUUCAUCUUGAACACACGACAUUCAGAGUUGCCACAGAAGGAGAAAGAGCAUGGAGAACUGUCCACGAUUCCAUUGGCCAGAUCUCAGGCACACGGCCAUAGUUAUCUGCAAGAGAGACUGAGAAAUGUAAGCUGAUGAGUGGCCAGGCGGAAGAGGAAACAGAUUUGUUGAACUUUUGGCCAGUCUCUGCCACACAUUUCUCACCAACAACUCUGUCAAUAGUUUAUAGCAAAGUCCUCCACCUUUUUUUGGUAUGCAUAUACUAAUAUAUAAUAACAUUUUUAGGGAAUCAUGCUAUGUAUAUUGGAUACUAUGGACUGGGUAGGCUGAUUCAGAUAUGACCUGCGCUUAUUUAGUCAUCAUCCAUAUACAUUCAGAAUUUAGAGUAUACUGAUUCAAACCUUGGUAACCUCAAGCGGGCAUUACACAUUGUUAUUCAGAUGUUUCUCAUACUGACUCAGAUGCUACUCAGCACGCUCUUACAUGUAAGCCUGUGGGGAUGGCCAGUCCCAAGUCCGAAGAAUUGAGGAGGGUUUCAUAGCUCUGCUGAGGUUUAUCUCCCUAUGAAGUUGCUUUCUUUACUCCUUCAAAAAAAAUUCGUAUUAUCUGGCUUUUUAUAUUAUAUGUUGUUUUAAUUUUAACCUCAGAUGUGGUUAAUUGUUCUCUGCAUUUCAUGGCACAUUACUGUCAUUGGUCCAUGCAAUUCUUCUUCCACUUCUCCCCCUGUCUCAUAUAUGUGUAUAUAUGAGAAUUGGGCUAUGGAAUGAAGGGAAUAUAUAUAUAUACACACACACACAUGCACAUACAGAAAAUAACUGAAACCAAGCCAUGAGGAAAAGAAAACAAAUUAAUUGUUUUAAUUCACAAACCAGCUUUGUAUGAAAAAUAAACCUGUUAAAUUUCUUAUGUGUAUGUGUGUAUAUAUGUACACACACACACGCGUGCACACGUGCACGCACAAACACACACACAUAUUCCCUUUCAUUCCAUAGCCCACUUCCUUUCUCUCCCGAUAGACAACCACUAUAAUGUGUUUAAUAUGUAUCUUGGUAUUUGUGUCUUGCAAAACAUAUUUUACGUGCA
rnacentral:lncRNA from 1 species